UGUGAGAAAUGAUGAGGGUCAACAUUCUUCAUACCAAAGUGAAGACAUGAGAUCCAACUCUGAGCUCACCCUGUUGCUAAAUGGAUAAUGCCAGUACUCUCUUGUGGAAGGUAUUACCAGAACAAGGGAUGUAGUUCUGAUCAUUUU